rnacentral:rRNA from 1 species
UACGUAGGGGGCAAGCGUUGUCCGGAUUUAUUGGGCGUAAAGAGCGUGUAGGCGGCUUGGUAGGUCCGCUGUGAAAACUCGAGGCUCAACCUCGAGAUGUCGGCGGAAACCACUUGGCUAGAGUCCGGAAGAGGAGAGUGGAAUUCCCGGUGUAGCGGUGAAAUGCGCAGAUAUCGGGAAGAACACCUAUGGCGAAGGCAGCUCGCUGGGACGUCACUGACGCUGAGACGCGAAAGCGUGGGGAGCAAACAGG